rnacentral:rRNA from 1 species
AUUGAACGCUGGCGGCAUGCCUUACACAUGCAAGUCGAACGGCAGCACGGGUGCUUGCACCUGGUGGCGAGUGGCGAACGGGUGAGUAAUACAUCGGAACGUACCUUAUCGUGGGGGAUAACGCAGCGAAAGCUGUGCUAAUACCGCAUACGCCCUGAGGGGGAAAGCGGGGGAUCGCAAGACCUCGCGCGAUUAGAGCGGCCGAUGCCUGAUUAGCUAGUUGGUGGGGUAAAAGCCCACCAAGGCGACGAUCAGUAGCUGGUCUGAGAGGACGAUCAGACACACUGGGACUGAGACACGGCCCAGACUCCUACGGGAGGCAGCAGUGGGGAAUUUUGGACAAUGGGGGCAACCCUGAUCCAGCAAUGCCGCGUGAGUGAAGAAGGCCUUCGGGUUGUAAAGCUCUUUUGUCAGGGAAGAAACACCGGCUCUAACACAGUCCGGGAAUGACGGUACCUGAAGAAUAAGCACCGGCAAACUACGUGCCAGCCGCCGCCGUAA